UAUACAAGGUUCUGCUUAAGCUAUUAUUUGCUAACGUCUGAAGACAUGAAGCUUUUCAAGGUAGAUCUGUUUUGUCAAGCAUCGCGUUUAAAAGCAGCCUAAAGACAGAAUAAAUGGUCAUGGCGACCGCAAAUCUGGGCAUGGAAGAAGAAAUGCACUCUCAGUUUGUUUUCUGUUGUUAAUAUCUUUCUUCUUAACCAUAAUAUAUUUGUUAAUUGAUGUCCUGUUUAUUUAGAGAGUUGUACCUAACAAGGGAUACGGGCAAGAGUACAUCUUGUCUGCUCAAGACAUCAACACUAACCUGAAGGAUUCAAGAAUGAUGUCAUGAAAUACUUUGAGAGGAUCUGAUCGGAGGCUCUUAAGUGCUGACUUCAAAAGCAAGUUGAUGGCAUUGAGAUCUUGCAGAAGGUACUUGAAUUUCUUCCCGAGCUUCUAGAUCUGUUCAAAAAUGAGGGCUGUGAGGCAACCAUCUUUCUUCCUUGCUUGGUUGAAAAGGUAAUUAUCUGUCUGUGAUAUCUCAAGCAUUAUCCAAAGUCUUAUUAAGUUAAAGGAAGUUGUUGUGGCAAGUGAAUGCAUAGUUAUUACUUUUGUUUUUAACAUCGUCUUUGUUGAUAAUUCUGCGAAUUAUGUAGGUGAUAAUAUUUCUUCUAGUUCUUCCACUAAAAUAGUUCUUAUGUUUUUUUGA